UUCAGUGAACAUACUUCUUUCUCCUCCUCCGUUAUCUCCAGUGAUGUUGACAACCUGUGUCCAUACUACUCGGGGGUUGGAAUAUUUCAUAUUACUUGAAACUCUGUAGAGGACUAAGGAUUCAUAAUAUGCAUUGUGUUGGCACAAAAAUUAAGGGGAGGGCGUCGAUUAAAAAUGAAUAAAUAAAAAUGAAGGGGUAAACACAACCCAAAAUGCUCUUUGAGCAAAUUAGCUACUUAACGUUGCAAAUUACCUGUUAAUAAGAAUAAUCUAGAAAUAAGACUGCGAUACAUGCACCACCAUUCUUGAAAAAAAUAUUGCUGGAUUUCAAACGUAAAAUUAGCAAAUCUCCACCAAAUUUUGUUUGAAAAAUCUCUGCCCGGUUAAAAUAAGCAUUCACGGUGAAAUUAUUUGAAACCAAACUGACAUAAGUGUGUCCAAUCCCACCUGUCAGCUCCUCCAGGGUGAAAACAACCACCAGGAUUUAUUUUUGCAAAUACAAAUUUAUUCGGAGCUUGAUAUGAAUUAAGGUCUAUUGGAAAGGAAGGAUAAUUCUGCUUAUGAGGCCAAAUUAGUCCACAUUUGUGAGUUCCUCCCACAAACGAAAAAAUAUCUUGACUAUGAGAAAACGAGAGAGAAAAAAAUGGACAUCUAACAGUGACUAUCGAGGCGACAUCGCCGUUGCCAUGAUGCCACCCAGGGUUUCUAUUUCCUGUUAUUAACCGUUAACACUAUACUGUGACAUCGUUUGGGUGUAAAAACUCAAACGAGCGUUUUGCGAGCCAACAAAGUGCAGGCGCCAAGUAAUUGUCAAUGGAAAAGUUCCAAGUUUUGUCACAGAUCACAAGAUUUCUUGUCCGGUUCAUUUUGUUCAUUUUAGCAAUUCAAAUAAAAUAAAAAAAACACUCCCACGUCAUACAACUAAUAUAUGUACACGCUCAUAAUUUUUUUCCUCACAUGUUUUAACAAGCAAGAAUCUAUUUGAAGGCUCAUUAAGCGACACGAUGCAGGGACACAAGUUCCUCUCGAGGGCGAACAACGCGGCGGCCUGUUGCAGCCGGUUACAACUGAAUGAAAUGGAGAUUGGGUGGGAAGCUCCUGUCAUUGCCAGACACUGGCAGGUUGAUGACUCGUCGCACCCGGGCCCCCAGGGCCUGGCUGGUGAGAACAAAACAGCCCGUUUGGACGGCUCUGUGCUUUCGCCUUUAAACAGUCGUGCUCAGAGGAGAAACUCACACAAACUCAGGGUUCUAGUUAAAUACUUGUGGAUCCUGGCAGGCCUAGCAACUGGAGAGGGGCCACAGCACCACCCUCCCAGCCCCGCUCCGAGUCAGUUCUCAUCAAAACCAAAUGGUGGAAUUUGGAGAGGCUGGCCAUGCCAUGGAAGAACAGGCUUAUGGGAACAUGUCUGGGAAAAUUGAAAAAGGGGGCGAGGGCUCAGAGUCAAGGCGUAGGAUUCACUGUUCCUGGAAGUAAUGCCAGAGUUUUCUUCACGAGCAAAUCCAGGAGCGCCAAACUGUGGCGUGCCAAACCAAACGGAGAGCGGCCAGCUUAAGAACAUGGAGAGGGAGAUGAUAGAAAUGGUAAGAUGGCGGAAAUGAUUCAGUUAAGAGCGCGGCUGCGGAGGAUAGACACCAUCCAGAUGGUCAGCUCAGUGGCUUUCAAUAAAUUAUUUAUCAGCGUCUCAGUGUACGACGCCUGAAGCAUUACUCUUUAUUUUUGCUCCAUGGAUCAAACGUGAAGAAUGAGAGUUCUUAUCUCACACCUUCUUUUUUUUUGCAUCACAUUAAUUUGAAGCAUUAGCAUCAGUUACACACAGAUACAUAAUGGAUGCACAUUGGCUCCACGAGCAGUGAAGUGCCUUUGAGGGGUAAUACGAUACAGCAGGACAAUGGCAGUGGAGUUUGCGAGCUGAUUGCACUAGGCAGGUUGGAGUGCUAUCAAAAUGAUGUUGGAAGCACCACUUUCUGACAGACGCGCAUUAAGAAGAAAUGGCCUUGAAGGACCCUGAUAUUGCGAGACCUGGUCAUGAUAAAUUAUAAAACCAAGAAGCUGCCAGGUUUAGAGCUGUACCAGGGCACCACUCAUGUACAGCAGGUU